UGGGGGAUAUUGCACAAUGGGCGAAAGCCUGAUGCAGCGACGCCGCGUGGGGGAUGAAGGCCUUCGGGUUGUAAACUUCUUUUGCACUGAACAAGGCAUGCCUUUGGGGUGUGUUGAGUGUAGGGGUUGAUUAGCGCCGGCUAACUACGCGCCAGCAGCCGCGGUAAUACGUAGGGCGCGAGCGUUGUCCGGAAUUAUUGGGCGUAAAGGGCUUGUAGGUGGCUGGUUGCGUCUGUCGUGAAAGCUCAUGGCUUAACUGUGGGUUUGCGGUGGGUACGGGCUGGCUUGAGUGCAGUAGGGGAGGCUGGAAUUCCUGGUGUAGCGGUGGAAUGCGCAGAUAUCAGGAGGAAUACCGGUGGCGAAGGCGGGUCUCUGGGCUGUUACUGACGCUGAGGGGCGAAAGCGUGGGGAGCGAACAGG
rnacentral:rRNA from 1 species